UACUCAAGGUCAAGGGUAUAGGUUGUUUUGUCUCUUUGAAUUAGUUUGAUUGGUGGGGAAGGUUGUUUUCUUGGUGCAGGUUAAGAUGGUGGGGAGCAGGGAAUCUAUCCUGUAAAAGAAGCACGAAGUGAACAAAGAUCGUGGAAGGAGGCUGGAAGAUUUUAUGCAUCCAGCGUAAAAGAGUGCCUUCAAUUAGUGGGAUGUUUGUGGAAUUGUU
rnacentral:lncRNA from 1 species